UCUUUUUUAUUGCAAUUUAAUAAUUAUGUUAAACAAAAAAAUUAAAAUUCUCACGGUGAAUUGUGAGAGAAAUAAUAGGGACUGUUAACAAAGUAUUAUGAUAUUCAUUAUAUAAAGUAAAAUUUAGUAACUUUUAACACUUUGUAGUAGACGCUGUCAUUUUUAGAAUUUCUUCACAUCUUUAAGGCCCAUGUAUUUGUAUAGUGUUCGGGCUCGGGGCAUAAACUCCCAUUUUAAAGACACCUCUUCUUCAGAGUAUGGUUACACCGUCGUUCUGAGAAUGGCCAGAUAAUUUACUGCACACAUUCUAUCCCUUAGAAUGAUAUAAUCUACUAUCAUUAGAAUCUUCUAACAUUCUUGCCCUUAUCCAGUAAAUUGAUCUCACACCAAAUGGUGAGUAGCAAUACUAUAACCGAACCGCCCGCGUGGUUAACUGUCUUAAUUGUAUACUUAGGGUUACACGCUUGUCUUUCAGGACGCCUGACAUACGUUUUCUGUCAUAAUCGAUUCGCCAUUUCUCUGCUCGAUAUCUCAUGCUCGGUAGUACUCAAAAUAUUGUCGGUUUGUUUGAACAUCUGAUUGGUUUCUAUCCAACAAUUGACGAAACAAAGGCAGCUAUUUGAUAUUUAAUGCUGGCUACUGAGCAAGGUGGAAAGACGAAAGUUUCAAAACCUCCAAUAACGGGAAUCAAUACAAAAAUUCAAUACUGACUAACUAAAUUUACGCCAAUUAAAAUAAAAACAUUUAAUAUUUUUACUAUGAUUAUCACUCACUGCUUCUAACUGGAUUUUGGUUAAUUUUUGGAAUGUUUUGGUAGCAUUUAAAGAGAAAACGUUAUUUAUCUGGAUAGAUGCUUCAAAAGUAUUCAAUGUAUAUAAGUUUAAUUUUCUACAUCCGACCCUCACCUGGAGAUAAACGUGUGAUAGUGCUAUCCGACUUCCGCCAACCCACACAUCCAUCGUACG